rnacentral:ncRNA from 1 species
UACGCAUCCCCCUUCCGAAGUUGCCGGAGGAAAAUGUCUUCAAUAGCAAGCUCCGUCAGGGACGACGGAGCAGGCACCGUUGAGCCAUGGAUGGUGAGUCGGUGCCGGUUGCGUGCAUUGAAGGCAUUUUACGCAGGGUAACAACUUCGGUGGGGCGCCCUUU